UACGGAGGGGGCUAGCGUUGUUCGGAAUUACUGGGCGUAAAGCGCACGUAGGCGGCUUUGUAAGUUAGAGGUGAAAGCCCGGGGCUCAACUCCGGAAUUGCCUUUAAGACUGCAUCGCUAGAAUUGUGGAGAGGUAAGUGGAAUUCCGAGUGUAGAGGUGAAAUUCGUAGAUAUCGGGAGGAACACCAGUGGCGAAGGCGGCGAUCUGGGAAGAUACUGACGCUGAGGUGCGAAAGCGUGGGGAGCAAACAGG
rnacentral:rRNA from 1 species